rnacentral:rRNA from 1 species
GAAUUCGCCCUUAGAGUUUGAUCCUGGCUCAGGACUAACGCUGGCGGCGUGCCUAAUACAUGCAAGUCGAACGGUCGUGCGUUUGUAGCAAUAUGGACGUACGAUAGUGGCGAACGGGUGAGUAACACGUGGAAAACCUACCCUCGAGCGGGGGAUAACUCCGGGAAACUGGGGCUAAUACCGCAUGACAUCCCAACCUGGCAUCGGGAGGGGAUCAAAGCCGAAAGGCACUUGAGGAUGGUUCCGCGGCCUAUCAGCUAGUUGGCGGGGUAACGGCCCACCAAGGCGACGACGGGUAGCCGGCCUGAGAGGGCGAUCGGCCACAAGGGGACUGAGACACGGCCCCUACUCCUACGGGAGGCAGCAGUAGGGAAUUUUGCUCAAUGGGGGAGACCCUGAAGCAGCGACGCCGCGUGGGCGACGAAAUCCUUCGGGAUGUAAAGCCCUUUUAACCGGGACGAAAUACAUGACGGUACCGGUGGAAUAAGCCUCGGCUAACUCCGUGCCAGCAGCCGCGGUAAGACGGGGGAGGCAAGCGUUGUCCGGAAUCACUGGGUGUAAAGGGCGUGUAGGCGGGCCGGCUAGUCGGUUGUUAAAUCUCUCCGCUCAACGGAGAAGCUGCGGCCGAUACUUCCGGUCUUGAGUGCGGCAGGGGGGGAUGGAAUUCCUGGUGUAGCGGUGAAAUGCGUAGAUAUCAGGAGGAACACCGAUGGCGAAGGCGGUCCUCUGGGCCUGCACUGACGCUGAGUGCGCGAAAGCUGGGGUAGCAAACAGAAUUAGAUACUCUGGUAGUCCCAGCCCUAAACGA